UAUUUGCAAGAAAGAGUUUAGCAUUGUCUUUGGCAAGGGCAGAGGAGUCACAUGGGCCUAACAACAUACAUACAAGGUCAGGCAUUACCAGCUACUUGUCGGUAUCUACCUAGUUUUAAUC